AUGACAUUCUGUUUGAGGUUUAUGUUGUUUGUGUUGAUGAGGGUUUUUAGAAAAGUCAUUUAUUUCACAGUUAAACGAACAUUUCCUUAAAGCAGACAUGAUUAUGAGCAUUUUGUUUUAAAUUGGAGUCGUGUUGUGUUCGGUGAAUUAAGGAGUCUCAGCUUCAUGCUGCUUCUUUCUUUUUCACGGACACACUCCGUCUUCACCCAAUCAGACCUCAGCUUGAGUCGAGCAGAGCAGCCUGGACCCUUCCUUUGUGCGCUCCAUCUGCAGCUGAGGGUUUUGUGCCACUCUGAGAAGUGGGUCAGAGCAGCGAGGACCCACCACCACUCACUUUUGGCUGCUUCAAGUCACGUCGCCCAAACAAUGGCACUUCACGGGGAGAGGCUCGUCUUCCUUCCUGCCUGGCUUCCUGUCGAUCGUUCUGCCUGACUUGGCAAACUCAAUGUGUCCUACGCCCCCCGACGGCCCCCCUCCUCACCCCACCACCACCAUCGCCCGUUCCACUCCCGUGAAUUCCUAAAUCUGACAGCCAAGUUGGUGAAAACCAAAGCGAGCAGAGAGCAGGACUCAUCGGUGACAGCACAAAGGUUGCAGGAGGCUCCUGUGGAAGUGGAGCUCCCAAGUCAACAUGCGGCUCCAUUGACAUGGAGAUGGCGGCGACGGGGUGGUGUGAAGUUGGGUCCAGGACGUAGGUGUACAAUGAGGAGUCGCGGUCCAAGUGCAGAGAGGAACACGAUGGAGGCUAAGGAGCAGGUUGCAGUGCAGCAUCUGAGGGAUUAUCAUGGCCAGCAUCCAGCAUCCAGCAGCCUGGACCUCAGCAACCUGCACACAGCGCUGUGACUGAGCAGUGAUGUGGGAAACAGUCCUUCCCUUGGUCCACCAGCACUUCUAGAGCCUGCUCUCAUCCCAUACGCCGCCAAUCACAUCAGAGACCCAGGCUUUGAUUGGCAGGUCUAAUUCUAUGGAGAGGGCGGGGCCUCGGCGUGUCACGCUGGGUUGUAUUAGGGAGGGCCGCUCUAAUAAGACCUACAGCAGGGAAAGUGCCUGCCCUCAAGGUCCAAUUUCCCCUGUGGCAUAAUAGUGGCAUUAAAGCAGAUGGAGAUAGAAUCGCACCUAUUGCAGGGUUUAUAAAUGAAAUGUUCGAGUUCAAGCUGGGUGGGAAUAGAAAUGAUUGAGUUCCGGGUUUCUUUUUUUUGUACGGGACCCAAAAAGUGGCCAUUAAAGAAAUGUUGAAGCAGUCAGACGCAACCGAAACCUUUAAAACUCCAACGUCCUCCAAGAACAAAAUAAAGAUGAAGGUAUGAUCCGACUCUAAUUUCUGGACACGAUUCCAGAAGCCUGUUCUUGAGCUUAAAACCUAAAACCAACAACAGAUAAGCCUUUUGGGCCCUCUGUCUUUGAUCUGGUGCCCCUCGCCCUCCGCUUCCAGCGUGGACUGGGUGGGAUAAGGGGGGGGGCUCCGGAGCUUCCUGUCCUGGAUCCCCGUGCUGUGGAUUUGGGGCGGAGAGCUGGGUUCCUGCUGAGCAGAUGUCCUCCUGUUCUCCACAGGGAUGGAAGCGUUUACUGUAAAACCCUGAGUGUAAACAGCCAGUAACACCAUUACCUAAAGUACUUUCAAAGUACUUGAUGCAGAGACUCCUUCGUCUGUUCUGACCAGCCUCAGUUUAUUUGAAGCUGCAAAUUAUUUACAUCUGUGUCGGCGUGUUUGUCCUGAGGCAGAUUUUAUUCAUAAGUAUUUUAUACAUUGUUAUUUGGUUAUUUAGCAAAAUAAAUGCAAAAUUAAAUAUUUAGCGAAUCCGUGCAGUUCUGCAGCUCAGGGCCGACUGCGGAUCUGUGUUUAAACCCUGUUUAGUCGGCUGCAGGUAAACAUCACAUCCCACAGAGCAGAAGUCAGAAGUCAUUGUGGAGCUGAUGAAACGAAAACACUCAGAAACACAUUUGCGCAAAUUAGCUAUAAAAUUUAUUAAAUGUAUUGUUAA